UACGUAGGGGGCAAGCGUUGUCCGGAAUCAUUGGGCGUAAAGAGCGUGUAGGCGGUCCGGUAAGUCCGCUGUGAAAGUCGGGGGCUCAACCCUCGAAUGCCGGUGGAUACUGUCGGGCUAGAGUGCGGCAGAGGAGACUGGAAUUCCUGGUGUAGCAGUGAAAUGCGUAGAUAUCAGGAGGAAUACCGAUGGCGAAGGCAGGUCUCUGGGCUGACACUGACGCUCAUGCACGAAAGCGUGGGGAGCAAACAGG
rnacentral:rRNA from 1 species